rnacentral:rRNA from 1 species
CCUACGGGAGGCAGCAGUGGGGAAUAUUUGCACAAUGGGGGAAACCCUGAUGCAGCGACGCCGCGUGGAGGAAGAAGGUCUUCGGAUUGUAAACUCCUGUUGUUGAGGAAGAUAAUGACGGUACUCAACAAGGAAGUGACGGCUAACUACGUGC